rnacentral:tRNA from 1 species
AGGAUUAUAGUUUAAGAAAAACACUUGAUUUGCAUUCAAACAAUAUUGAAACUAUCAAUUAAUCUUA